AGCAGAGCAUGUUCUCCUCAUUUCCAUCGGAUUCAAGAACCAUCGAGAGAGAGAGAGAGAGAGAGAGAGAGAGAGAGAGAGUCAGAGAGCAGCUGAACCACAUAUGACCGGUGGUGUGCGUGCUGCAAUCGUUCACUGCUACUGUCCGCCUAGCCUGCAGCAGCUUCUUCCUCCUCUGUUUCUCGUCAUCGGAUCUUGUCUUUCCUUCUCCAUUCUGUCCAAUCGAAGUUAGUCGCCGGUCAAUGUUUGCUGUGGGUUCACCACUGUUGAGGUUUGAUUCGCGAUGUUCGUGCUUCCCUGCACUUCCACCCAUCCUUUCUUGGUUCUAUUUCUCAUCGCCGACGUUCACCUCUUCCGUCGCUGUGCUUUCUGUGGUGUGGGCAUCGGACGUUUUUCUUCUUCCUCCUCCAUUUUUGCUCAAGCAACUCCUCUUGUUUCUGAUUUUGAUAACUUGAGAUUUCAUUUGGGAAUGCACCUAGGGUGCUCGAUGAGAUGAAGGAUAGAAGAACUUUGAAAUUUUAGCAUGAUUGAGGGUGUCUACAAGAAGGAAGAUUUGACUCCAAAGAGUGAAUAUGCACUUGAAAAUAUUACAGGUAAGUGGAUAGCGUCCCAACUAAUUUAUCAAUAAAUUUUUUUAUUAAAAUUUAUUUUGUUAUCUUGAUUAUUUUAAUAAUAAUUAUGUUGAAUAGUGGAUACUUUGUUAAUUAAAUUUCUUCAUUUUUAAGUUUUAAGAUGGUGGUGAAAAACGAUUCAUCAUAACAUAUGAAUGUUUUACCCUUAUGAGAUAUCCUUUCAAGAUUAAUAAAAUUCCUUGUCAUUAGCAUUGGCAAUUUUUGAUUAUUUAACAAAUGCAAGCAUGAGCAUUGAAUAUGAAAUUUUAUUCUGGCAAGUUUUAAUGCUUAAAAAGUAUUCAUGCGAGUUUGAUUUUGAGAAUGAAAACGGUAUCUUAAAAGUGAUGAUUUUCUUGCAUGUUUGAAAAUGGUUUUAAAAAGGGACUUUAUACAAAACACUGGUUGUUAACGGCAGUUCCAUUAGCCCUUGGCACGUCAUGGUACACCUAGCUAGCAGGGUGUUUAUAGGAGGUGCUAGCCCUAUGCGAUGGUCAAUGCACGUGGAACGGAGGGAUGGUUAUUCGUGAGCAUUGUACUCACGUUUGUUUCGUGGCUUUAAGCCGCGUUUGCUUAGCAUUAUCCUCGUAUAGACUGUGUGUCCACGUUUGUUUUGUGGCUUCGACUGCGUUUGGUUAUUUACCCUUACGGAUUAUGUCUCCACGUUUGUUUUCGUGGCAUAAGCCGCGUUUGAUUAUUUAUUAUCAUGAACUGUGUGUCCACAUUUGUUAAUUGUUCUGAUAUGUCCCUAUAAUUAUGAAUCCAAUUAUUUGACGAUUUAUAUUCCAUUGGUUUUUAUCUGGUAAUUUGUAUAUAAAAAGAUUUAUUUUAUUUAUGUGCUUUCUUGAAAUUAAGUGGUAUUAUCAUUUACUAUGAUAGUUCAAUAAUUUAAGAUUUUAUUUGAAAUUUUAUAGAGCCAUUUUAUUAUGAAGUUUAUUAAAUUUUUAUAGAAAUUGUCGUCUCUUUAACUUACAUAACUAUUUCAAACUUUUUAUUUUAUUUAUGUUCUAUUAUUUAUUGUUGGGACGUUAUUCACUGGAAAAUUAUUUUGGUUUCAGAUAGCAUACUUGACACUGUACGUCUUGCUUAACAAUGAUGGAUGUUUACGGAACAGAAUAGAGACUUGUUCUGUAAAUAUGUCUUAUUGAUGUAAAUAUAAAAUUAUGUGUUAUGUUAUGAGAUAUAUGAUUAGGUGCUCCACAUAACUUAUAAUUAAAGUCUUUAGUUUAUUAUACAUUUUGUUUGCUGGCUAGAAGGAGCUAAACUCCUGAUUGAUAUAAUGUUUAAGGAAAAUUUUUGUGAUACAGAAUUUUGGAAUAUCCUAUUUACGGAGGAGGUUCUGACAAAAUAUAAAAUAGUUAUUGUAAUGAUUAUUAUCAAUAGUAUUAAUAGGUCAGUGAAUAAUUGAGUACAUUUUAAUUAAAUUAAAUAAAUUUUAAAUUUGUGGCUUACAAGAUAUAUGAUGUGGUUUAUAUUUUGUGUCGGUCAUUUCUUAUUUUUGGGGCGUGACACCUUCUUUUGUUGGAGGCUUUCUGAAAUAACCUGGAGCAAUGAUUCCAAACUGGAUGAUUUCCUUAAGAUGACAGCUACGACUAGGAGCACUUAAAUGAAGGAUGUGACCGGUUUGGUCAAGGAAGCAGGAUUGUUAUUAUCACAAAGGAUAAACAGUUGUUAGUAAGUCAUGCUAUUGAAAAAAAAUUUAUGAUGUCAAGAAACUAAGUGAUGAUGAGGGUCUUCAAAUGUUAUCCCGAAUUGCUUUUAGAAAGGGCAACGUGGAACCUGGCUACGAGGACGUUUCAAAACGUGUAAUACUUUGUUCACGUGGCAUUCCAUUAAUUUUGGACGUGUUGUGCUUUUACUUACAUGCUAAAACAGUAGAUGCAUGGAAUUUUGCAAUGGAUAAGAUGUAAAAAGACCUGGCACAGAUGCUUUGGCUCUUCAGUGUAUUCAUACACAAUGCAAAGCAGCUGGAGGAGUUUAUUGCUUUUAUGAAGGGGAAAGAACCUCAAUCAAUUCACUCAUCAAUGGAGAAGGGUACUGAUGAGAGGAAAAGGGAAGACACUGAAAGCGAAAAGACACGAGUUGAGGGGAAGAAGUGCCAUGCUUGAAACUUAACCCAAUCAAAUAACAGAAUUCAACGGUCAACAUUGGCAGAAAAGCUUGUUGAAAUGCAAGUAUUCCCUUUUUGUUUGGUUUAUUCAUGCCACUGUUCGAUCUUUUCGUGUUUAGCAAUGCCACUGUUCUUUCAUUUUUCUUUUUGUCCCCUACUUCUUCUUUUAGUUAUAUUGUGCAUGUUCCAUCUCUUUUAUGAGCUAUUUGUUGUACCAUGUCCUCUGCUUUUCAAUAUAGCUGGUAGAGAGCCUUGAUUAUUCUCAUGAAAAUCAAAAUCAGCAACAUGACGACGGAUUUCUUCAUCGUUGCUUCGCUUGGUUGAUGCGAUAUAUUCUGUACAUAGUUCUGUCAAAUGCUUUCCAUUCAGAAAAAGAGCUCCUGCAGAACAUGAUAAUGAACAAUUCAGAUAUCGUCGAGAUUGGCAUAUUGUUAUGCUUGGAUGAACCAUAUGAUGACCAUAUAGCCUCAGGUAUAUAUUAAGAAAGCGUGUCAGAUUUGAAAUCCGUUCAAUCAAGAAUAUCCAUUAAAUUGUUGCAUUCUUGGAUUGCUGCCAAGUGCUUCAACUUCCAUUAGAAAAGUAGUUAUGAGGAGUGCCAGAGAAUCUGAAGCAGAGGUGAUAAUUCUCAACUCCUGUAAUUUUUGUUGGCCAAAAGAAAUGGCUAUGUCCAUAUGCCACGAUUGGUGCAGGUUUUCAUCUGUGACUUCUUUAAUAACACUAGUAGAAUCAGACUCUUAGCAUUAGGUGAAUGGGAAAACAUAAUUUCAGAGUUUAAGCAUUUUGCUAAAAGUAGUUUAAGCA